CCUACGGGAGGCAGCAGUGAGGAAUAUUGGGCAAUGGAGGAAACUCUGACCCAGCAACGCCGCGUGAAUGAUGAAGGUCUUCGGAUUGUAAAGCUCUUUUCUAAGGGAAGUAGAAAGUGACGGUACCUUAGGAAUAUGCCUCGGCUAACUACGGGCCAGCAGUCGCGGUAAUACGUAGGAGGCGAGCGUUAUCCGGAUGGACUGGGCGUAAAGGGUGCGUAGGUGGUUUGGCAAGUUAGUUGCGUAAGUCCAUGGCUAAACCUUGAAAUUACAGCUAAAAAUGGUGGUCUUGAGUACAGGAGAGGCGGGAGGAAGUCGUGGGGGAGCGGUGAAAGGCGUAGAUAUGAGGAAGAACUCCGAGGGCGAGGGCGGUUGACGGGACUGUAAAUGACACUGAGGCUAGAAAGUGUGGGGAGCAAACAGGAUUAGAGACCCGUGUAGUC
rnacentral:rRNA from 1 species